rnacentral:snRNA from 1 species
GGAUGUGAGGGUGAUCUGGCCGUGACAUCUGUCAUCCCAUUGAUUGCCAGGGUUGAUUCAGCUGAUCUGGCUGGCUAUGCUGGUGUCCCCUCCCUCUCUCACCGCUCCAUGUACAUCCCUCCCAAAGUUGCAUGCUCGGUUAAAGAGGACGACCAUCCUUGAUAGACGAGGACUGGUCUUCAGUCAAGUGUAUACGAGUAGCUGCACUCCCCUGCUAGAACCUUCAAACAAGCUCUCAAUAUCAUUGGAGACCAAUGUAAACUUUAACCUCAGACUGACAGCAAAUAGCUGGAGAGAUUCCAG